UACGUAGGUGACUAGCGUUGUCCGGAUUUACUGGGCGUAAAGAGCGCGCAGGCGGUCGUUCAAGUCGAGUGUGAAAGCCCCCGGCUCAACUGGGGAGGGUCAUUCGAUACUGAUCGACUCGAAGGCAGGAGAGGGAAGCGGAAUUCCCGGUGUAGUGGUGAAAUGCGUAGAUAUCGGGAGGAACACCAGUGGCGAAGGCGGCGAUCUGGGAAGAUACUGACGCUGAGGUGCGAAAGCGUGGGGAGCAAACAGG
rnacentral:rRNA from 1 species